rnacentral:rRNA from 1 species
UCAGGCCUAACACAUGCAAGUCGAACGGUAACAGGAAGAAGCUUGCUUCUUUGCUGACGAGUGGCGGACGGGUGAGUAAUGUCUGGGAAACCGCCUGAUGGAGGGGGAUAACUACUGGAAACGGUAGCUAAUACCGCAUAACGUCGCAAGACCAAAGAGGGGGACCUUCGGGCCUCUUGCCAUCGGAUGUGCCCAGAUGGGAUUAGCUAGUAGGUGGGGUAACGGCUCACCUAGGCGACGAUCCCUAGCUGGUCUGAGAGGAUGACCAGCCACACUGGAACUGAGACACGGUCCAGACUCCUACGGGAGGCAGCAGUGGGGAAUAUUGCACAAUGGGCGCAAGCCUGAUGCAGCCAUGCCGCGUGUAUGAAGAAGGCCUUCGGGUUGUAAAGACUUUCAGCGGGGAGGAAGGGAGUAAAGUUAAUACCUUUGCUCAUUGACGUUACCCGCAGAAGAAGCACCGGCUAACUCCGUGCCAGCAGCCGCGGUAAUACGGAGGGUGCAAGCGUUAAUCGGAAUUACUGGGCGUAAAGCGCACGCAGGCGGUUUGUUAAGUCAGAUGUGAAAUCCCCGGGCUCAACCUGGGAACUGCAUCUGAUACUGGCAAGCUUGAGUCUCGUAGAGGGGGGUAGAAUUCCAGGUGUAGCGGU